rnacentral:rRNA from 1 species
AGAGUUUGAUUAUGGCUCAGAACGAACGCUGGCGGCAGGCUUCACACAUGCAAGUCGCGCGAUUAAAGCCCCUUCGGUAUAUAAAGCGGCGAACGGGUGCGUAACAGGUGGAUAAUCUACCCUUCGGCGGGGGAUAACGGCUGGAAACGGCCGCUAAUACCGCGUACGGUUGCGAGGGUUUCGGCUCUUGCAAAGAAAGGCGCUUCACGGCGUCGCAGGAUGAGUCCGCCUCCCAUUAGCUAGUUGGUGAGAUAACAGCCCACCAAGGCAACGAUGGGUAGCCGAGCUGAGAGGUUGAUCGGCCACACUGGAACUGAGACACGGUCCAGACACCUACGGGUGGCAGCAGUGGGGAAUAUUGGACAAUGGGCGCAAGCCUGAUCCAGCCAUGCCGCGUGGGGGAUGAAGGCCUUCGGGUCGUAAACCCCUUUUCUGAGAGAAGAACAGCCCGUGUAGGAAAUGACCCGGGUUUGACGGUAUCUCAGGAAUAAGCAACGGCCAACUCCGUGCCAGCAGCCGCGGUAAUACGGAGGUUGCAAGCGUUGUUCGGAAUUACUGGGCGUAAAGGGAGCGCAGGCGGUCGGGUAAGUCUGAAGUGGAAGCCCGGGGCUCAACCCGAAGUGCUUUGGAUACUGCCUGACUUGAGUACGCGAGAGGAAAGCGGAAUUCCAGGUGUAGCGGUGAAAUGCGUAGAUAUCUGGAGGAACACCGGUGGCGAAAGCGGCUUUCUGGCGCGUUACUGACGCUGAGGCUCGAAAGCGUGGGGAGCAAACGGGAUUAGAUACCCCGGAAGUCCACGCCGUAAACGUUGUGCACUAGGUGUGGGAGGUAUCGACCCCUUCCGUGCCGCAGCUAAACCACCAAGUGCACCGCCUGGGGAGUACGGUCGCAAGACUGAAACUCAAAGGAAUUGACGGGGGCCCGCACAAGCGGUGGAGCAUGUGGUUUAAUUCGAGGCAACGCGAAGAGCCUUACCCAGGUUUGACAUCCCAGGACAGCCCAUGAAAGUGGGUCCUUCUUCGGGGACCUGGAGACAGGUGUUGCAUGGCUGUCGUCAGCUCGUGUCGUGAGAUGUUGGGUUAAGUCCCGCAACGAGCGCAACCCUUGUCCCUAGUUACCAGCGGUUCGGCCGGGAACUCUAGGGAGACUGCCGGUGAUAAGCCGGAGGAAGGUGGGGACGACGUCAAGUCAUCACGGCCCUUACGCCUGGGGCUACACACGUGCUACAAUGGCCGGUACAAAGGGCUGCAAAACCGCGAGGUGGAGCUAAUCCCAAAAAGCCGGUCUCAGUUCGGAUUGGAGUCUGCAACUCGACUCCAUGAAGUCGGAAUCGCUAGUAAUCGCGCAUCAGCUACGGCGCGGUGAAUACGUUCCCGGGCCUUGUACACACCGCCCGUCACAUGACCCGAGCCGGGUGCACCGGAAGUCGCUGGCCCAACACUGCAAAGGAGGGAGGCGCCCAUGGUGUGCCCUGGUAAGGGGGAUGAAGUCGUAACAAGGUAGCCGUAUCGGAAGGUGCGGCUGGAUACACACUCCUUU